rnacentral:tRNA from 1 species
AACCGCGUAGCUCAGUUGGCAGAGCAUUGGGCUGGUAUUCCAGAGGCCGUAGGUUCGAUUCCCACCGUGGUCA